UCUGUUUCUGUCCUUUUUGCAGGUAAGAUGAAGUCAACGAGAGGAGUCUUUGCCAUUUCGGUGUAAGGUGGUCAGUCCUCGGGUGGUGGGCGCGCUGCGGAGGCACGUGGCCAGUAAAGUGAACGGCGCAUUAGGGUUAGGGUUUCAAAUUUUUUACUGAAACAAGUUAAGGUUUUGGGCCUAUUGGGCCCUGGGUCAUGGGUUUGUAAUUUGGGUUGUA
rnacentral:lncRNA from 1 species